GAGACCCACGCCAACAGUUGCCAGCUCGUCCUCCGGGAUGGUGGGGACACUGUUGGGACCGCCUCUGCUAAAGAGGAGGAAGGAAUGGGCAACGGUAGGUCAGCAUGCCCCGAAUUAUCCGGGCUACACGCGGGCUACAAUGGGUGGGACAAUGGGUAUCGACACCGAGAGGUGAAGGCAAUCUCCUAAACCCAUCCUUAGUUCGGAUUGUGGGCUGCAACUCGCCCACAUGAAGCUGGAAUCCGUAGUAAUCGCGGAUCAACAUUCCGCGGUGAAUAU
rnacentral:rRNA from 1 species